AUUAACCAUCAACCAGAGAGAACUUUAUAUUCUAAGAUUCAAUUAAAUCCUACUCUUUUUUCUCUUCAUUAUUUAUUCAACUACACGGUUUAUACGAAGACACCUGCUAUUACGUAUGCGGUUGCGUGCAAGCAACUUGAUCUUGAGGCUCGACCACUAGUUGCCGGUGGGUAGAAGAUUGGAAUCCUUCAUUCGGAGUAAGAUAAACAGCUGUGGUAUUAAAUGUAUUUAAUCACAGUGGUCUGAACUUCAAUCAUCUGGAAGUGAUAAUGACUACUUGGCACAACACAAGUUGGAG